rnacentral:lncRNA from 1 species
CACCAACAGUGAUACCAUAUGUCAAUAAUUUAGACAUAGCCAAAGUUACACUGAUUUCUUAUUUCCCUGUUGUGUCCUGUAUCCCUCUUCUUCUUUAUUGAAUUAAUUUUCUACUUUAUGAGAAUAAGUCCUCAAGUAAUAUUUUUCUAAUAAAAAUAAGCUUUAUUUUUGCAUAUAAAGAUAUAAACAAUUUUACUUAUUGCUAUGGACUAGAUGUUUGGAUUCCCCCAAAACCCCUAUGUUGAAGGCCUAACCCCCAUUGUGAUGGUAGUGGGAGGCAUGGCCUUUGGGAGGUGAUCAGGUCAUGAGGGUGGAGCCCCAUGAUGGGCUUAGUGCCCGAGGCUACAGCUCUUUCUCUCCACCAUGUGAGAACACAGACGGAAAGGACCUUACCGGGACUAAACUGGCCAAUACCAUGAUCUUGGACUUCCCAGUAUCCAGACAGUGAGAAAUAGAGGUGCUGGAGGAGGAGCCCCUGGAAGACCAAUUAGGCCUGAGAUUCCUGUGGGCCUGGAGGCCAAGGGUGACCCUGGCCCUGGGGAGGGCAUUGCAGCUAGAAAGCAGUAGCUGAGACUACCCUGGGACACGGCACAGAGAACCUACUGACAGACUGAAUCUAGGAGGACCUGGGAGGACUCAAGGCCCUCUGCUGGGCCGAAGAGGACCCUUUACUGAUGGAAGAAAAUCUGGACAGCUGGGAGUCCCGUGAUUGUGUGAUCAGUGUGAGAUACCUGUGAAACCUCCAAGUGUAGACACUGAUUAGGUGUUUGGAGUCUAGUCAACUGCAGUAGUGAGAAGGUGAAAAAGUAGAACCUGGAGUUGGAUCUGUGACUGUGAACAAUCAACUGAGGUAACUCACACUACCUUCGGACCAACCUAUCUUCGUUUUCAAUGUUGUCAAAUUUACCAUUUACUUGCCUCUGAGUUUUGUGUCAAACUUAGAAAGGCUUUUUCUUUCUGAGAUUAUUCAGAAAACAUUUCCGAUAUUUUCCUCUAGUGUUUUUAUUAUUGAAUCUUUCACAUUUAAAACUGUUGAUCCACCUGUAAUUUAUUUUGGUAUAAGGUAUGAAGCAAGGGUCCAACUUUGUUUUUCUAGAUGGCAACUCUGUCGUCUUCCCUCCUUCCUCUAAUUUUUUUUUUUU